GCCCUGAUGGUCCAGCGGCUAAGACUCUGCGCUUGCAAUGCAGGGGGCCCAAGUUCGAUCCUUGGUCAGGGAGCU
rnacentral:tRNA from 1 species